rnacentral:rRNA from 1 species
UACGUAGGGGGCAAGCGUUGUCCGGAAUCAUUGGGCGUAAAGAGCGUGUAGGCGGCCCGGUAAGUCCGCUGUGAAAGUCAAAGGCUCAACCUUUGAAUGUCAGCGGAUACUGCCGGGCUAGAGUCCGGAAGAGGCGAGUGGAACUCCUGGUGUAGCGGUGGAAUGCGCAGAUAUCAGGAAGAACACCAACGGCGAAGGCAGCUCGCUGGGACGGUACUGACGCUGAGACGCGAAAGCGUGGGGAGCGAACAGG